AGGAAGACAUUCUUUAAUAAGUAAGAGAAAGAAGAGGCAAGAAAACAGAAGAAGAAACAGAAUGCAAAAGGCAAGGCUCCGGCAGUUAAAUGAGAGUUCAGAGGCAUUUAAAGAUUUCAAUCAAGAAAACAUAGAGAAAGUUGAACAAGAGGAGGAAACUUUAUUAGGGAAAGUGGAGGAGGCAGAAAGGGAAGUAAAUGUGCAGUGUAGGGAGGAUGGCAUAUUUAUAGAUGACACCUGUGUAGAGAAAAGAAACACCUACAAGACAGCAAAGGAGUUAUUUGGGAAUGGAGACAGGGAAACAGUUAAAUUGUGCAAGAUGUUGGAUGAUGAAAGAGACAAAAGGGAGGAGCUCUUAAAAUUUACCAACUAUUGUAUUCAUUUAGUUAAGAGUAGAAAAAAAUGCAAAUUUUGUUUAAAAUUUUGACUAUAUUAUUUUCAAUGUUUUUACAUUAGGUACAUGUAUGAGUGAACAUAUCAAAAUUCUUGAGUUCUUAGCACUAUCCUUUCACUUUGCUUUUCGUAAUUUAUUUUUAGUUUUUUGUUAAGAGAAACAAAACAAAAACAAAAAUUGGCUGUGUUGAUACAUGUACUCCAGUUAUUAGUAUUGUUUUGGGUUGGAUUUUUUUAUUAAUUUUUUUUCCUAUUGAAAUCAUAUUUUAUUUUUUUGGAAAAGUUUAUUUUGAUAAGCAAUUAAACAUGUUGGGGAAACAAAAACUCUCAUUUUCCCAUCAAGCUCAGCGGAAAAAAAUGUCGAGAAAAGAAUAUCCAGGAUGUAAACAAUCAUUUACUUCUAGAUAUUUCCAACAGCACAGAGAAAGAAACUUCUGUAAUAAUCAAUGGAUUUGUUCCAAAUCUAGAUCUGUCUUUGAAAAUAUUGAAUUUUCAUCUCAUGAGGUCAUUGAGGAAUUAUCUGAUAGUUCAUCAGAUGAAAAUGUAUCUUCUCAUAGAUUACAUGAUGUUUUUCAAUCCUAUUUACGAAAAAAAAAUUAUGAAAAAAAUUGUGACACAGACUUUGAAAGUGAAGAUGAGGUUUGGAAUAGCACAAGUUUAGAGGAUAUAGAUUUAGACCUUCAGAUGGAGGAGCUUUGUGGAGAAAAUGGAAUUAAUGAUGGAACUGUUCCAAACCCAAACAUGAAGCUUGGGACACUUUUGAUGUGGUUAUGUAUAUUUAUAUGUACUUGGCAAUCCAUUUUCAUGCUGCCAGACUCUGUUAUAAACAGCCUUCUCUCAU